rnacentral:misc_RNA from 1 species
GUGAAUCAUCAAAUCUUUGAACGCAAAUUGCACUCUCUGGUAUUCCGGAGAGUAUGCCUGUUUGAGGGUCAGUUUAAAUAAAAAUCGGUGUUUUUGCGGCCUUUCUUGGUGACGCACCGGAUUGGGGUCGUCUUGUCUUCGGCUAAGUGACCUAAAAUUUGGAAUGAUUUGUUCGACCGUUUUGAACCGAUUUUACUUAGGUU